GAUGAACGCUGGCGGCGUGCCUAAUACAUGCAAGUCGAGCGAACAGACGAGGAGCUUGCUCCUCUGACGUUAGCGGCGGACGGGUGAGUAACACGUGGAUAACCUACCUAUAAGACUGGGAUAACUUCGGGAAACCGGAGCUAAUACCGGAUAAUAUAUUGAACCGCAUGGUUCAAUAGUGAAAGACGGUUUUGCUGUCACUUAUAGAUGGAUCCGCGCCGCAUUAGCUAGUUGGUAAGGUAACGGCUUACCAAGGCAACGAUGCGUAGCCGACCUGAGAGGGUGAUCGGCCACACUGGAACUGAGACACGGUCCAGACUCCUACGGGAGGCAGCAGUAGGGAAUGUUCCGCAAUGGGCGAAAGCCUGACGGAGCAACGCCGCGUGAGUGAUGAAGGUCUUCGGAUCGUAAAACUCUGUUAUUAGGGAAGAACAAAUGUGUAAGUAACUAUGCACGUCUUGACGGUACCUAAUCAGAAAGCCACGGCUAACUACGUG
rnacentral:rRNA from 1 species